CUAAGCGUACACGAUGGAUGCACUGGCAGUCAGAGGCGAUGAAGGGCGUGUUAAUCUGCGAUAAGCGCCGGUAAGGUGAUAUGAACCGUUAUAACCGGCGAUACCCGAAUGGGGAAACCCAGUGUGACUCGUCACACUAUCAUUAACUGAAUCCAUAGGUUAAUGAGGCGAACCGGGGGAACUGAAACAUCUAAGUACCCCGAGGAAAAGAAAUCAACCGAGAUUCCCCCA
rnacentral:rRNA from 1 species